UUUAUGGAGAGUUUGAUCCUGGCUCAGAGUGAACGCUGGCGGCGUGCCUAAUACAUGCAAGUCGAACGAUGAAGCUUCUAGCUUGCUAGAGUGCUGAUUAGUGGCGCACGGGUGAGUAACGCAUAGGUCAUGUGCCUCUUAGUUUGGGAUAGCCAUUGGAAACGAUGAUUAAUACCAGAUACUCCCUACGGGGGAAAGAUUUAUCGCUAAGAGAUCAGCCUAUGUCCUAUCAGCUUGUUGGUAAGGUAAUGGCUUACCAAGGCUAUGACGGGUAUCCGGCCUGAGAGGGUGAACGGACACACUGGAACUGAGACACGGUCCAGACUCCUACGGGAGGCAGCAGUAGGGAAUAUUGCUCAAUGGGGGAAACCCUGAAGCAGCAACGCCGCGUGGAGGAUGAAGGUUUUAGGAUUGUAAACUCCUUUUGUUAGAGAAGAUAAUGACGGUAUCUAACGAAUAAGCACCGGCUAACUCCGUGCCAGCAGCCGCGGUAAUACGGAGGGUGCAAGCGUUACUCGGAAUCACUGGGCGUAAAGAGCGCGUAGGCGGGAUAGUCAGUCAGGUGUGAAAUCCUAUGGCUUAACCAUAGAACUGCAUUUGAAACUACUAUUCUAGAGUGUGGGAGAGGUAGGUGGAAUUCUUGGUGUAGGGGUAAAAUCCGUAGAGAUCAAGAGGAAUACUCAUUGCGAAGGCGACCUGCUGGAACAUUACUGACGCUGAUUGCGCGAAAGCGUGGGGAGCAAACAGGAUUAGAUACCCUGGUAGUCCACGCCCUAAACGAUGGAUGCUAGUUGUUGGAGGGCUUAGUCUCUCCAGUAAUGCAGCUAACGCAUUAAGCAUCCCGCCUGGGGAGUACGGUCGCAAGAUUAAAACUCAAAGGAAUAGACGGGGACCCGCACAAGCGGUGGAGCAUGUGGUUUAAUUCGAAGAUACACGAAGAACCUUACCUAGGCUUGACAUUGAGAGAAUCCGCUAGAAAUAGUGGAGUGUCUGGCUUGCCAGACCUUGAAAACAGGUGCUGCACGGCUGUCGUCAGCUCGUGUCGUGAGAUGUUGGGUUAAGUCCCGCAACGAGCGCAACCCCCUUUCUUAGUUGCUAACAGGUCAUGCUGAGAACUCUAAGGAUACUGCCUCCGUAAGGAGGAGGAAGGUGGGGACGACGUCAAGUCAUCAUGGCCCUUACGCCUAGGGCUACACACGUGCUACAAUGGGGUGCACAAAGAGAAGCAAUACUGCGAAGUGGAGCCAAUCUUCAAAACACCUCUCAGUUCGGAUUGUAGGCUGCAACUCGCCUGCAUGAAGCUGGAAUCGCUAGUAAUCGCAAAUCAGCCAUGUUGCGGUGAAUACGUUCCCGGGUCUUGUACUCACCGCCCGUCACACCAUGGGAGUUGUGUUUGCCUUAAGUCAGGAUGCUAAAUUGGCUACUGCCCACGGCACACACAGCGACUGGGGUGAAGUCGUAACAAGGUAACCGUAGGUGAACCUGCGGUUGGAUCACCUCCUUU
rnacentral:rRNA from 1 species